rnacentral:rRNA from 1 species
UACGUAGGGGGCAAGCGUUGUCCGGAAUUAUUGGGCGUAAAGAGCUCGUAGGCGGUGUGUCGCGUCGGUCGUGAAAACUUUCAGCUUAACUGGGAGCUUGCGUUCGAUACGGGCAUCACUGGAGUUCGGCAGGGGAGACUGGAAUUCCUGGUGUAGCGGUGAAAUGCGUAGAUAUCUGGAGGAACACCGGUGGCGAAGGCGGCAUCCUGGACCGGUAUUGACGCUGAGGCGCGAAAGCCAGGGGAGCAAACGGG